rnacentral:rRNA from 1 species
UAGAGUUUGAUCCUGGCUCAGGACGAACGCUGGCGGCGUGCUUAACACAUGCAAGUCGAGCGAUGAAGUUUUUUCGGAAAUGGAUUAGCGGCGAACGGGUGAGGAACACGUGAAGAAUCUGCCCUCCACUUUGGGAUAACACCGGGAAACCGGUGCUAAUACUGAAUAUUGAAACAUAAGUGGCAUCACUGAGUUUUGAAAGAAUUUCGGUGGAGGAUGACUUCGCGGCCUACCAGCUAGUUGGUGAGGUAAUGGCUCACCAAGGCAACGACGGGUAGCCGGCCUGAGAGGGCGACCGGCCACACUGGGACUGAGACACGGCCCAGACUCCUACGGGAGGCAGCAGUGGGGAAUAUUGGGCAAUGGAGGAAACUCUGACCCAGCGACGCCGCGUGCGGGAUGAAGGCCUUCGGGUUGUAAACCGCUUUCAGUAGGGAAGAAGCGAAAGUGACGGUACCUACAAAAGAAGCACCGGCUAACUAUGUGCCAGCAGCCGCGGUAAUACAUAG